CUUGAAUUUCUCUGUAUAGAGGUCUUUAUAUAUUUUUUGUUAAAUUAUUCCUAGGAAUUAGAUGUUUUUAGGUGUUAUUUUAAAAAAUUAAUCCUCUUUGUUGCUGAUAGUGCAGAGGUUUUAAAUCUGAGGUCUGUGGCCCUUUUCAAGCUAUAAACACUUUUUAUACUUUUUUCUGAAAGAUGUGUAACUUACAUUUGAAUCUGAUUUCCACUAAGGGCAAUAACAAAAAGAUUAAAGAGCACUUUAGUGCUUUAACUUAGAGUAGAUUGGACUAGGGAAGGGGAACAGAGAGGCAGAGAGACCUUUUAAAGUAUGUAAUAAUCUAGGCAAGAGACUGGGCUUGAGCUAGGACAGUAGGUAUGGAAAAGGAGGAAAGACAUUCAAGGAUAUUCUGGAGACAGAAUGAGUAAAAUGAAGAAAAAGGGCAAAAUAGAGCUGGCAUCAGUCAUGUUCAAGGCAAUUAGAGGGUUACCAAAGCAGUAGGUAGAUAAGGGAAAAUGAGUAUUUGGUGGGUGAAGAUAGUGGGAUAGUCUCUAACUAUAUUAAGGAGACUUUACAUUUAAAAUAUAUUUGCAUAAAUAAAGAUGGGCAAAGUGAUAGAAUGUAUGAGAUUUGGAAGGUGGAAAGCUGCACGAUGGUUAGAUGGGGAUUUAUUAUAUAUUAUUCUGUACUUUUUUCUAUAUUUAAAAGUAUCCAUAAGAAGAAGUUAAGAAAAGUUUAUCUGCGUAAAAAGUAGGCUGAACUGGAGUUCUCUGGACUAGCUGUACUCAAAUUCUUACGUGAGAGAAAUAUCAGGAUUUGGGUUUGGGUAGUUUUAUAACCACUCUCUAUUAGGGACACAGUUUUAUCAAAAUCUUACAGAUAAGGAGGCACAAAGCUAUAGAGGCUAGGUGCUGCGGGGUGGCUAAGAGUUGAAAAGAAAUUGAGCUAGGCAGAUGGAACAUGGUAUCUGUUGGCAACUGAACCAGGUGUAUGGACUUAGGGGAAUUUAGCAAGGGAAGAUUAUGUGGUUUGGCUCUGUACACACCCUAAUCUCAUGUCUAAUUGUAAUCCCCAAUUUUGGAGGUGGGGGCCUGGUGGGAGGUGUUUGGAUCUUGGGGGUGGAUUUCCGACUUUGGUGCUGUUCUUGUGUGAUAGAGUUCUCACAAGAUCUGGUUGCUUUAAAGUGUGCGGCACCUUCUCUGCCCCCUCUUCUUCCUGCUUCGGCCAUGUAAGAUGUACCUCCUUUCCCUGUGCCUUCUGCCAUGAUUUUAAAUUUCCUGAGGCCUUCCCAGAAGCAGAAACAACCAGAAGCAGAAUCCACUAUGCUUCUUGUACAGCCUGCAGAACUGGGAGCCAGUUAAACCUCUUUUCUGAUAAAUUACCCGGUCUCAGGAAUUUCUUUAUAGCAGUGCAAAAACGGACUGAUAUACUAGGAUAUACUUUCAGCUGGAGAAUAAUGGCAGGGAGUCUGGGGCAGAUAUUCUGGGGAGAUCAACAGGCAGAAAGCAUCAGUGAAUACUAGAAACAGGUGGCAAAGCAUUGCUUCAUGCUUGAACUCAAAAGUGGAACUGGGAAACCUAGCAAGGAACUAAAUAAUUGAUUCAUUCAAUUCAUUAGUUCAUUCAGCCUGUACUAAUUAGUGCCUCUUGCAAUAGUUCUACACUUUAUUCUGUAUAAGAAUUAUUUGGACUUUGGGAGGCCGAGGCGGGUGGAUCACGAGGUCAAGAGAUCAAGACCAUUCUGGUCAACAUGGUGAAACCCCGUCUCUACUAAAAAUACAAAAAAUUAGCUGGGCAUGGUGGCGUGUGCCUGUAAUCCCAGUUACUCGGGAGGCUGAGGUAGGAGAAUUGCCUGAACCCAGGAGGCGGAGGUUGCGGUGAGCCGAGAUCGCGCCAUUGCACUCCAGCCUGGGUAACAAGAGCGAAACUCCGUCUAAAAAAAAAAAAAAAGAAUCAUUUGAAAUGCAUGUUAAAAUGUAGUACAGAUUCUUAGUUAUUUUUCCCUCCUCUUCCUGUUUACUUGGUACACCUAAAAAAUUGGCAUGUUUAACAAGCAUAUCAGAUGUUUCUGAUGUUGGUAUUUCUCCGGAUAAUGCUUUGACGAAACAUCUAGUUCACUGCGUGCUGGCCAGUGUAUCAACACAGGGGAAGUGUGGGAAAUGUGGCUAGAACCAGAGUGAAAGGUGAGGCCUUGUACUUGGGGAAGGAGCUGCAUUAACUGGAAUCAAAAGUGCUGACAGGCCAGGCACGGUGGCUCACACCUGUAAUCCCAGCACUUUGGGAGGCUGAGGCGGGUGGAUCAUCUGAGGUCAGGAGUUCGAGACCAGCUUGGCCAACAUUGUGAAACCCCGUCUCUACUAAAAAUACAAAAUUUAGCUGUGCAUGAUGGCCCACGCCUGGUAAUCUCAGCUAUUUGGGAGGCUGAGGCCAGAAAAUUGCUUGAAACCAUGAGACAGAGGUUUCAGAGAGCUGAGAUUGUGCCACACUGCACUUCAGCCUGUGCAACAGAGCAAGACUCCAUCUCAACGACAAGUGGUGGCAGAAUGAGACAGAUAUGGCUGAGGCUUCGACUCUCGGAAUUUUAACUAGUUGGUAAUAAGUUGGUUUCAGAAAAUUUACUUCUGCAGGCUGUUUGCAGCUAGAGAAAUGGUGAACUAUGUGAGGAGGAAAAUAAGCAAGAUAUGACACUUAGAAGAGGUAUACCUAGUGAAGGACAGUAGCCACUCAGGUACUACAUUAAAAUCACAUCACAAUAAAACUGGUAGUACUUCCUAGUACUAUGAACAGUACUAUGAACUAUGUGUAUCAUCUUCAUUUAUUUUAAAGAAGCUGUGACUGGUCCCUCAUCUCAUAAUCAUCAUCAGCCACAGCAUCUUUACCUAGAUAGAGGUAGGAGAUGUAAUUCAGUACAAUUAAAUACGGUAAAUGUAAAGGUGCUUUAUAGGUCAUACAUGUAAGGUGGUGGUGCUUUUACAACAACAUUCUAACACAAACUAAUUCAUGUAGACUCCCAAAGUUUAUUGAAUAGGCAUUGAAUUCUCAUUUCAUUUCACUUUUUGUUGUUGUUGAGACCAAGUCUCCUUCUACUGCCCAGGCUGGAAUGUGGUGGUGCAAUCUCAGCUCACUGCAACCUCCACCUCCUGGGUUUAAGCAAUUCUCCUGCCUCAGCCUGCUAAGUAGCUAGGACUACAGGCGUGCACCACCAUGCCCAGCUAGUUUUUUUUUUUUUGGAUUUUUAGCAGAGACAUGGUUUCAUCAUAUUGGUCAGGCUGGUCUCGAACUCCUGACCUUGUGAUUCACCCGCCUUGGCCUCCCAAAGUAUUGGGAUUACAGGUGUGAGCCACCGUACCAGGCCUCAUUUUACUCUUUAUAUAUUCAUUUAUGCCUGCUAUGUGCAAAUUUUCUAUUCCAGUUUUUUUAAUGAAUGUACAGUAAAAUGGACUUUUCUUAGUGUAUACAGUUCUAGGAAUUCUAAUAUGUGUAGAUUCAUGUAAACCACAAUCAGGAUAAGAGCAAUUCUAUUACUCCACCACAAAAAACUCUUAUACUGUUUCUCCUCCUCUGACCCUCACUUCCUCACUUCAUGUUUUUGAGAAUGUCAAAUAAAUGGAACUGUGCAAUAUGAAACCUUUUGCUACUGACCUCUUCCAUUCAGCAUAUAACCUUUGAGCUAGAUUAAUCCAUUUUGUUGCAUGUCUAGGGAGUUCGUGUCUUACUAUUGUUGAGUAGUAUUUCAUUGUGUAAUAUACCAGACUUGGUUUAUUCACUGCUGAAGGACAUUUGGUUUGUUUCUGGUUUUGGUGAUUAUAACUAAAGCUACUAUAAGUAAACACUUGUGUAUAGAUUUUGUGUGAACAUUUUCAUUUCUUUAAGGUAAAUAUCCAUGAGGAGAAUUGCAUGAUAAAUGUACGUUUAACCUUAUUAGAAGUUGCUAAACUAUUUUCCAGAGGGAUUGUACCAGUUUGCAUUCCCACAAGCAAUGUGUGAAAGUUCUAGUUGAUCUGCAUCUGUGUCAGCAUUUGGGAUUGUCAGUAUUUUUAAUUUUAGCCAUUUUAAUAAGUGUAUAGUGAUACCCUACUGUGGUUUUAAUUUGCAUUUCCCUAAUGCAUUCCUUGGUUCUUUAUGCCUUUAUCAAUGGAGGAUCCAAAACAAAAGAUAAUACAUGGUCAUCAGAAAAAAUAUUUGUUGUGCCUGACUUUAACAUUCUGUGAAAGACUUCAUGAAUAUUUUUAGAAAGGAGUUGUACUAUUGAAUAUUCAUGGUUUUUCAAUGAAGUUUGGGUACUCUGAAACCUAUCUGCAGAGUUUUAAUUAAGCCAUAUGACAGUGUGAAUAAGAGAGUGACAUCAGAGCUUUUUUUUUUUUCUGGUGGCCUUUGAUAUUAUGUAGAACACUUGUGGCCUUUAAUAAACUGAGGAGAGGCUGGGCGUGGUGGCUCAUGCCUGUAAUUCCAGCAUUUUGGGAGGUCGAGGCAGGUGGAUCACCUGAGAUCAGGAGUUUGAGAACAGCCUGGCCAACAUGGAGAAACCCUCUACUAAAAAUACAAAAAUUAGCCGGCCUAGUGGCUGGCACCUGUAAUCCCAGCUACUCAGGAGGCCGAGGCAGGAGAAUCGCUUGACCCCGAUGGCAGAGGUUGCAGUGAGCCAGGAUUGUGCCACUGCACUCCAGCCUGGACAACAAAGUGAGACACCAUCUCACAAACAAACAAACAAACUGAGGAGAUAGGAUGACCAGAUUUUUUUAUAUGCAUAUAUAUAUUUAAGUAAAGGAGAAAUAAGUGAGAAACACUCAUGGACACUGUGAUCAAGAUCAUGAACAAGAUCAUGAUCUACAUUUACUAAUUUCAUUUUCCUGGUAGCAUAGAUCAAUGGUAUGAUUUUAGUAACUCUUAUUCAGGGAAAUAAUUUAGAUGAAGGCAAGAAAGGCUUUCUCUUGAGUAAUACAUUAAUUUGGUCCCAUCUAUCUCUUCUCCCUUUGUAAAUCAUCCAAGCAACAAUCUAUGUUAUAAGAAGCAAACUAAAUGAUUGCUAAUUAAAUGUUUAGUGUUUUUUUAAGUUGGUUAUUAGCUUGAGGUUAAAUUUGCUUAAUGAGUGAAUAUGGAAGAGUUAUGUUUUUCACAUUUGGAAUGCAUACUUGCUGAUCAUUGGUAUGUUACUCCCAUUUUAUGAAGCUGGAACGUAAUUUCCUUCUUUUUAAUGAUUGUGAGUUUUACAGUUAUUGAAUCUUUGUUUUGGUGGUGUUAGUCAUGUCAGUACUUUAUUUGCUACCAAGUUCUCAGUUAGGAAAUAGCCUCCCAGUUAUGAUUUUGUUUUUUUUUAAGACAGAGUCUCACUCUGUUGCCCAGGCUGGAGUGUGGUGGUAUGAUCUUGGCUCAACUGCAAUCUCUGCCUCCUGGGUUCAAGUGAUUCUCCUGCCUCAACGUCCUGAGUAACUGGGAUUACAGGUGUGUGCCACUAUGCCCGGCUAAUUUUUGUAUCUUUUGUAGAGACAGGGUUUCACCAUAUUGGCCAGGCUGGUCUCAAGCUCCUGACCUUGUGAUCCGCCCAUCUCGGCCUCCCAGAGUGCUGGGAUAAAAGGCGUGAGUCAGAGCCACUGCACCCGGCCAAUUUUUCUUUUUCUUUCUUUCUUUUUUUUUUUUGAAAAGGAGUCUUGCUUUGUCACCCAGGUGGAGUGCAGUGGCAUGAUCUCGGUGCACUGCAACCUCCACCUUCUAGGAUCAAGUGAUUCUCCUGCCUCAGCCUCCCAAGUAGCUGAGACUACAGGAAUGUACCACCAAGCUCGGCUAAUUUUUAUAUUUUUAGUAGAGACGGGGUUUCACCAUGUUGGCCAGGCUGGUCUCAAAUUCCCGACCUCAAGUGAUUCACCCACCUUCACCUCCCAAAGUGCUAGGAUUACAGGCAUGAGCCACCUCGCCCAGCCUCAAUUAUAACUUGUUUCCGUAGGAAAACAUUUGCUUUGAAGUAGUAGUCAGUAAUAUAUUGAAAUUACAAAUGGACUGUCAAGGAGUGAUUCAUGUUUAGUGUUCAGUGUAAUUUAGAAAAGGUGACUUAAGUAGAAGAACAUUGAUGUAUCUGUUCUUAAAUUGCACCUAAUUAUAAUGACAAACUUAUAAGAUCUCUUUCUUCCUCUCUUGGAAUGUUGACUAACUAUAAAUUUCACAUGCUUUGAAAACAAAUAAUUUAAAAAGUGGUCAAAUGAAUUAAUUGUAAAGAAUCCUGCUUUAUCAGAUUUUACCUGUAAUCAUAUACCGGCAUGUAUGACAUUUUGAAAAAUCAGAAAGGAUUGCUUCCACUUACAUCAGAGUUUGAAAGUAGAAAUUCUUUUUAUGUAUGUAUGUGCCACCUUUGAUUAUAUGGUGGUCUUCUGAAUGUGGUCCCCUUACCUGAUACAUACCCACCUCAUCAAUAAACUACAUAGAAUCCUUACGUUUAUAUGUGGUCGUGUUACAAAGGUUUUCUUAAUGUAUUUCACUAAUGUCUUGUGGGAAAAUAUAAUCUUUUGAAAGCAUUAAUGUUAAAAAGAAUUAGACAUGUGAUUUAUCUCAUUAGGACCUGUUCUCUUUCAGUUUGUCUUUAAAAUGUAGGUACAGUAUAUAAGAAUUCAUAGUAAAGGAUCAACUGAGACUUUGAUUUAAAUGUGUUAUAAAUUAUAGUACGGGAGCCUGCAUAAUAUACUACAUUUUUUUUUCCCUAAGAAGCUUCUGUAAAUGGUUCUGUUAAGUGUAGGAAUGUUCUGAUGAUUAUCUUUUUAAUUAAAAUGAGAAAUCUUUGUUUAAAGUGGUACUCGUUUUUUUACAGCCUGUUACAGUCUCUGUAACAAUCAUUUCUUAAGUCUGAACGUUUUAUUUCCAGGAAUCCAUUUAUAUAAAACUAUGUUUAGACUUAAUUAAGGAAUGAUUCUUACAAAGCUUGUAAAUAGCCAGGAAAAAAGGGACCGAAAAUAAAACUGACAUUCACAUUUAACAAAAUGAUUGUUACAAGGUAUGUAAUAAGCUAUAAAAAUACAAUAAAGGCCUUUUUAUAAGAGUUCAUAUUUUUUGAUCCUUGUUUUCAAAGGUAUUUAAGAAAAAUAUCAAAGCUCUGCAAAGUGACAUCUGUUUGCUGAAUGGACUAGUUACAACUUCUUUUGUUUAUAACUGACAAUACGGGAGUUCUACCUGUUUUGUUAGUAUGUCUUCUUUGAAAUACCUUGUAAUCAAUUUAUAUUGGUAGGUAAAUUUUCCAUUGUACUGUAGUGAAAACAAGACCUGGUUUUCUGGUUCUGCUUUCUAGAUGUCAUGAGAUGUUGGGCAUGUUGCUUAACCUCUUUGAGUCUCACUUUGCUCAUAUAGAAAGCAAAGAUAAUAAUACCUGCUUUUGUAUCUCAAAGAGCUGUUAUGAGGAGUAAAUGAAAUUAUUAUAAAAAGAACAAAUAAUUUUUAAAAUUAUAAAAGACUAUAAGCAUCCAGAUCAUAUGUCUCUUAAAGAUGAAUUAGAUUUAACAAGCUCUUUUAAUUAGCAGACUUCCUUCUCGUUUAUGCACUCUGUCAUGUACAUAUGUAUAAAGUGAUGCUUUUAGUUUUCCAUUUCCUUGUCCACUAAGUGAUUGAAACAAUAUUGGCAUAGUGAAAAUUACACAGGAAUUGGAGUCAGAAGACCUGGUUUCAAGUCCUAUCUUAAUUACAGUCAUGCAUGGCUUAAUAACACUGUGAUACAUUAUGAGAAAUAUAUUGUUAGGUGAUUAUGUUGCUGUGUGAACCUCAUAGAGUGUACUUAGACAAACCUAGAUGGUACACCUUACUAUACACCUUUGCCAUGUGAUAUAACCUGUUACUUGUAGGCUGCAAACCUGUACAGUUUGUUACUGUACACUGAAUCCUGUAAGCCAUUGUAACACAAUGGUAAGUGUUUGUAUCUAAACAUAUCCAGACAUACAAAGGGUACAAUAAAAAUACAGUGUUACAAUUUUAUGGGACCACUGUUGAGUAUCUGACCAUAUUUGACUGAAAUGUCAUUAGGGGGCUCAUGACUGUAUUUUUACUUAUUCUCUUACCUUAUUCUUGGAUGGUGAUAAUAAUAAAAAUAACAAUAAUAAUGCAGCCAACACUUUUAGCUCAGCAUAUAUCAUGCAGGAUUCUAGACACUACGUAUAUUAACUCACUUGAUCCUCUCAUCUUAUUGGGUAUGUUUUAUUAUUAUCCUGAUUUACCAAGGUGGAAACUAAGGCACAGAGAGGUUAACUUACUUUUUCAAGAUAAGUUUGUAAAUGGCACAGCUGGUAUUCCAGCCCAGACAUUCUAGCUCCAGAGUGAGUGUGCUUAAUCAUUGUGCUAUCUUAAAACUGUUCCUCAAUUUCUUCUCUGAAAUGAGACUGAUAGUCACUGUUCUAUCUACUGGGUUGAAGAUCCAGUAAGCAAAUACACAUAAAAGCACUUUGACAUUACAGUGUACCAUAAAUAUAAGUUAUAUGCCGACUUUAGAAUUAACAUGCACCUUAGAGUAGGUAUUUUAUAGUUUUUUUGGUGAGAGAUGUUAUCUUUUGACUUAUUUUUGAGAAAUACAAUUUUGAGGAGAGCUGUGGAUGGUGUCAUUCUUUUUUCAAAUCUUUCAGAAAAAUUAUGAGAAACACACGAUGAUAACUCUUAUACCCAUCACCUGAAUCAUCUAAAUGUUAACAUUUUGCCACAUUUGACUUCUCCUAAUAUAUAGCUUUAUUUUCUUUCUAAAUUAUUUGAGAGUUGCAGUCAUGAUAUUUCACCUUUACUUCUGCAUAUAUUUUCUAAGAACAAGAGCAUCCUCAUUCCUAACCUCAAUACAAGAUUCCACUCAGGAAAUUUAACACUGAUAACCAUUUAUUAUUUAAUACACAGUUCAUAUUCAAAACCUCUGGUUGUCCUAAGAAUGUCUUUUUUUUUUUUUUUUUGAGAUGGAGUCUUGCUCUGUCGUCCAGGCUGGAGUGCAGUGGCACAAUCUUGGCUCACUACAACCUCUACCUCCUGGGUUCAAGUGAUUCUCCUGCCUCAGCUUCCUGAAUAGCUGGGAUUACAGGUGCCUGCCACCACACCCAGCUAAUUUUAGUAUUUUUAGUAGAGACGGGGUUUCACUAUGCUGGUGAGUCUGGUCUCGAACUCCUGACCUCAGGCAAUCUGCCUGCCUUGGCCUCCCAAAGUGUUAGAAUUACAGGUGUGAGCACGUUUCUUUAAAAAAAAAAAAAAAAAAAUACAGGACCCAAUCACGUUAUAUAUAAUAUCUCUUUAGAUUCCUCUAAUUUACAGUAGUUCCCUAAUGGCUUUUAUUCAUGAAAUUGACGUUUUUGAAGAGUGUGAGGUAGUUUUACAGAAUGUCCCUCAUUUGGAUUUGUCUGCUUGUUUUUUCCAUGACUAGAUCAGGGUAGAACAUUUGGCAGGAGUAUAAUACAUGCUGUUUUUUUUUCUUAGUGUACUACAUCAGAAGGUAUAUAAUGUCAGUUUGUUCCAUUAUUAGAUUGUUUGAUUAGUAAGGUUGUAUUCACUAGAUUUGUCUGUUAUAAAGGUAUAUUCGUAAGUAUUCAGAGUAGCAAACUUGGAGACUGUGUAAAUAUCUUAUUUCACAAAAUUGUUUCACCUAAGUUUUACCAUCCAUUGGUGAUUCUUCUGUGGUAGUUGUAAAAUCAGCUUAUUUAUUUUUAGGUGGUUCUAAAUAAUUUUUUUCUUUCUCAAUUUUGAAAUGGUGACUGUUUACUAUUUUGGAAGGACAUUGCAUGGGCUUUGUCAUCUUUAUUUCAUUUUUGAACUUAGACGAAUUAAAGUGUACUUUUUACAUUGUAAAAAAGAUAAAGAUAACUUUUAUCUUUAGUUGAAAACACUAUCAAAGCUGCUUAGAGAAUUGGGUUACAUUUUUAGGGGCUUUUUAUAACAAAAAGUACAUCAGAAUUGCCUAGAGGGCUUGUUGGGCCUUCCCUGGAGUUUUUCUUUCUUUCUUUCUUUUCUUUUCUUUUCUUUUUUUUUUUUUUUGAGACAGGGUCUUGCUCUUUCUUCCAGGUUGGAGUGCAAUGGUGCUAUCACAGCUCACAGCAGCCUGGACCUCUCAGGCUCAAACCAUCCUCCCACCUUAGCCUCCGUAGUAGCUGGGACUACAGGUGUGCAUCACUACCACAACUGGCUGGUUUUUGUAUUUUUUGUAGAGAUGGGGUUUCACCCAGGCUAAGUUUUCUGUACUUUAGACCUGGGUUGGGGCAUGAGAAUUUGCAUUUUCAACUAGUUUCCAGGUGAUGCUGCUGGUUCUGGGAUUAUACUUUGAGAACUUCUGUGGCUUGUAUAAAGCUUCCUUUUUUGGGGUCAUUUUUCUUUCUAUAUUUUCUUUUUCUUUUUUUUGAGAUGGAGUUUCACUCUUGUUACCCAGGCUGGAGUGCAAUGGCACGAUCUCAGCUCACCACAACCUCUGCCUCUUGGGUUCAAGCAAUUCUCCUGCCUCAGCCUCCCGAGUAGCUGGGACUACAGGCGCGUGCAACCAUGCCCAGCUGAUUUUUGUAUUUUUAGUAGAGACGGGGUUUCACCUUUUUGACCAGGAUGGUCUUGAUCUCUUGACCUUGUGAUCCACCCGCCUCGGCCUCCCAAAGUCUAUAUUUUCUUUAUUUUUAUUUUUUGAGACAGACUGGAGUGUAGUCAUGUGAUCAUAGCUUAUUGCAACUUUGAAUGCUAGGCUCAGGGAACCCUCUUGCCUCAGCCUCCCAAAGUGCUGGGGUUACAGGCAUGAGCCACUGUGCUGACCUUGGGCCAUUUUUAUACUUGUUUGCUUUUUUGAAUAGAGAUGAGAAUAAUAUAGAUACAGUAUAAAUAAGUAAGUUGAAGUUUGUAUUAGUGGAUUUUGAUCAUUGUUGGGAAAAUUUUGGCAAUUGGCUAAAUUGCUUAAUAGGAUCUCAUUAACCCAGCUAAUUCAAAAUUAUCUGUGUUGUAAUAAAAAUGGUUAUAGGCUAUUUUAGGUAUCUGUUUAUUUUUUAGAGAUGGAGUCUUGGUGUGUUGCCCAGUCUAGACUCAAACUCUUGGGCGCAAAAGUGAUUCUUUUGCCUUAGCCUCCCGAGUAGCCGCCGGUACUACAGGCAUGUAUCACCAUGUCCUGUCUAGGCUAUUGUAAAACUUAUUGUAGCAUUUAUAUUUGUUGAAUUUUCUUUACUUCGCUCAAUGAAGUAACCAAAUUAGGUAUCCAUAAUGUUCAGUUUGUGCUUUUAGUAUUUAAGUAAUCUCUGGUAUGCUUUAGCAACUUGGUUUUGUUAAGUCUGUGCAAUUAGUAAAGCAAGUGGCAAAUUUGUUUCGUCAUAGAGAUUAUUUUCACUUUUACAGAAGUUGGCCAUCAGCUCUCCUUCCUUGAUUCCCCUAUUAGGAAUACUAUAAACAUCAGAGAGAAGAGGAUGACCUUAAUAUUUGCUUCCCAGGCUAAAUCACAGCCUUGAAGCAGCUAUUUGUUUCUGAAUAAAGAGUUUAAUUUCACACCCUGAUUAGUGCCAGUACAUGCAGGUAGAUAUUUAUAUUAUGUAGCCAAACUGAUCUGCCUUUGCAAAUUACUUGCCAGUCAGCAGAACUAUAAUUUCUUAUGAGUAGUUUAUGGUAAAUUAUAGUUCUAGUUAACAAGUUUUGUGUGUUUUUUUAAAGUAUGUAUUUAUGAGGUAGGAGUAGGAAUCAGUCACUAAAUUUUGGCCAGACUAGCAGUUGACUAAUAGCUUUUUUCAAAGGCUAAGGUUUGGACUAACAGCCCAACUAAUUAGCUGUAGGAAAGAGUGAGAUCUUAUUUUUCAGGUGAUUUGAAAAUAUACACGGGACCUACAAAGAGUGGGUUCUGAUGGAAAAGACCUAAGAAGAAAUUAAUUUUCUUAUUGAGAAGUAAAAUAUAUUGUAGUUAAAAUUUGAUACCUUAGAGAGGCUUAAAAAAUAGGAAGAUAACUGAGAACAAGACAUUGAAGGUUUUGAAAUCAUGGGGCACUGCUUAACUGAGUUUUUCAUUGCUUAUUUGAAGCCAUGGAGUUCUAAACUCUUUUAAGGUGAAACUGAGGCCAGGUUUGGUGGCUGUCACCUGUAAUCCCAGCACUUUGGGAGCCUGACGGGGGAGGAUUGCUUGAGGCCAGGAGUUUGAGACCAGCCUGGUCAAUAUAGCAAGACCCUCAUCUCUACAAACAGAACAAAACAAAACAAAAUUAGCCAGGCAUGGUGGUGCAGUGGGCUAUGAUUCUGCCACUGCACUCCAACCUGGAACACAGAGUGAGACCCUGUCUCUAAAAAAAGAGAAAAAAAAAGUGAAACUGACUUUAUCUGAACUUGGAUAUAGGAUAGAAUAGAUGAAUUAGAAGGAAGAAAAAUACUGUUUCCUUAAUAGGAAUAUCAUUUCCCUUCUUAUCUAAAAUGUCACUAAAUUUGCAUGGAGUCGUAGGAUUUAAGAGUUGAGAAGGAUCAUCUAAUUCAAGGUUUUCUUUUUUUUAAUGUAGUUUUUCUAUUUUCUUCUUUUUUGUGUGUGUGCACAUUAUACUUGAUAAUUCAAGGCUUUUUUGCCUUUUUUUUUUGAUUAUGGACUUCUUUCCAGACACACACACAAACACACACACGUUUUAUACAGAAUUUCAGGAGGUUCAGAGAUCCAUGAAUCCUAUCUAUUGACCCUAGGUUAAUGUUUUUGGUUCUUGUAUAGUAUUAUUUUUAUUUAAAAGGCUUUGCUGAUAAUAAUUAUUUUAAUAUAACUACUUGUGACUUUUAAUAAGGAUCUGACUAUAAAACCUGAGCUUCAUCAUAAAAUGUCAUUUUGAGCAAGAAGCAGCUUCUCCGCUCCUUCUGGAAUCUCUCCCUAGUUCAGCCCGCCUGCCUCCACUCCUGCCUCCACCAUGUCCACCAGGGUGACCCAUAAGUCCUAAAAGGUGUCCACCUCUGGCCCCGGGGCCUUCAGCAGCCGCUCCUUAACGAGUGGGCCCAGUGCCCGCUUGAGCUUCUCCCGAGUGAGCAGUAGUGGCUUCCGGGGUGGCCUGGGUGCAGGCUAUUUUGGGGCCAGCAGCAUAGGCAUGGGAGGCAUCACCGCCGUCACCAUCAACCAGAGCCUGCUGAACCCCAUUAUGGUAGAUGUGGACCCCAACAUCCAGGCCGUGCGUACCCAGGAGAAGGAGCAGAUCAAGACCCUCAACAACAAGUUUGCUUCCUUCAUCGACAAGGUGCGGUUCCUGGAGCAGCAGAACAAGAUGCUGGAGACCAAGUGGAGCCUCCUGCAGCAGCAGAAAACGGCUAGGAGCAACACGGACGACAUGUUUGAGAACUACAUCAACAACCUGAGGCGGCAGCUGGAGACUCUGGGCCAGGAGAAGCUGAAGCUGGAGGCGGAGCUUGGCAACAUGCAGGGGCUGGUGGAGGACUUCAAGAACAAGUAUGAGGAAGAGAUCAAUAAGCGUACAGAGAUGGAGAAUGAAUUUGUCCUCAUCAAGAAGGAUGUGGAUGAAGCUUACAUGAACAAGGUAGAGCUGGAGUCUCGCCUGGAAGGACUGACUGACGAGAUCAACUUCCUCAGGCAGCUGUAUGAAGAGGAGAUCCGGGAGCUGCAGUCCCGGAUCUCUGACACGUCUGUGGUGCUGUCCAUGGACAACAGCCGCUCUCUGGACAUGGAUGGCAUCAUUGCCGAGGUCAAGGCGCAGUACGAGGAGAUCGCCAACCACAGCCGGGCUGAGGCGGAGAGCAUAUACCAGAUCAAGUAUGAGGAGUUGCAGAUGCUGGCUGGGAAGCACGGGGAUGACCUGCGGCGUACGAAGACUGAGAUCUCCGAGAUGAACCGGAACAUCAGCCGGCUCCAGGCUGAGAUCGAGGGCCUCAAAGGCCAGAGGGCUUCCCUGGAGGCCGCCAUUAGAGAUGCUGAGGAUCGCGGGGAGCGGGCACUCAAGGACGCUCAUACCAAGCAGCAGGAGCUGGAGUCCGCCCUGCAGCGGGCCAAGCAGGACAUGGCAAAGCAGCUGCGUGAGUACCAGGAGCUGAUGAAUGUCAAACUGGCCCUGGACAUCGAGAUCGCCACCUACCGCAAGCUACUGGAGGGCGAGGAGAGCCGGCUGGAGUCCGGGAUGCAGAACAUGAGUAUCCACAUGAAGACCACCAGCGGCUAUGCAGGUGGUCUGAGCUCUGCCUAUGGGGGCCUCACAAGCCCCGGCCUCAGCUACGGCCUGGGCUCCAGCUUUGGCUCUGUCGCGGGCUCCAGCUCCAUCAGCCGCACCAGCUCCACCAAGGCUGUGGUUGUGAAGAAGAUUGAGACCCGCGAUGGGAGGCUGGUGUCUGAGUCCUCUGACAUCCUGCCCAAGUGAACAGCUGCAACAGCCCCUCCCAGCCUGCCCCUCCCAGCCUGCCCCUCCUGAGGCUGCCCCAGAGCCCAGGAGGGAGGUUGCUGUGCAGGGGAGCGCAGGGAACAGGAGACCCACCUGACGCUCAGCCCUAGCCCUCAGCCCACCGGCGGGGAGUUUACUGCCUGGGGACCCCCCUUGCCCAUGCUCCAGCUGCAAAACAAUUCAAUUGCUUUUUUUUUUUUUUGGUCCAAAAUAAAAUCUCAGCUAGCUCGGAAAAAAAAAAAAAAAAUGUCAUUUUGAGAAGCUAAUGAAAUGUUGAGUACGUUGCCUGGUAGUGUCAGGAAAAAUGGUACAGAGAUGACUUGGCUGGUAUUUAUCAAAAAUCCUCCCAGAACAUCCUGUACUUAUUCCCCUAGCUAUUCAAGCAAGCAACCACAAUGAAUCCCUGUCUAUGAUGAUGUAAUUUUACUUGUCAGGUUAUGUGAACAGAUACACAUAAAUUCUUUGAUUAUUAUCUUACUGAUACUUCCAGGACCUUUCUAUUUUUAUCAGUUUUAUUAAAGAUGUAGUAUGACCAAACAAAUGCCCAGCAAGGUCAGUUUACUCUGUGAGUACACCCUGCAUCUAGCGUCAUGUGGAAUAAACCCUGUUCUAUCAAGGUCAGCCUUAAACAUUGUCAGCAUGUUCACUUAUUUAUGCUCUGCAGUUCUGGGGAGGCCUGGGAAACAUUUAUCUUCUCUUUUUCUUCAUCUUCUUGAGGUGUCAACACUGAGAAUGCUGUCUAUCUAAUUAGCUCAUUCAAGAAAGACUUUUUGGUGAGAAUUUUACAUCAGCAGUACACUUUGGCCAGAAGACCUGGUUUGGAAUUAUCUUAUGUAUUCCACAUGCCACUUAGAAAAACACUUUUUAUGAGGUAUCAAUAAAAAGUAGUGUGGAAUACUUAUUCCUUUUGAAAAUGAGUACAUGAAGACCCAAAGACUUAUGUGACUUGCCCUUGUCACAAGUGGUGACAGCCUGGAUUAGAGCCCACAUUUCCUAAGUCCAAGUCUAGUUGGUGCUCUUCUGACUCUUUAUUUUGUUUGUGGUUUAGCUUGUGUUUCUUCUACUGGAUAUGGUUGAUAAGUGAAUUGGUGGGGGGUGUUUUUAAUGAGCACUUUUGUGAUUUGUUUGAGAAAGGCUUCCCUGCUCUAAGAUCAUGAAAAUAGCCUUAUAUUUUCUACUAUAGACUUUGAGUUUUGCUUUUUACAUUUAGAAUUUUUUUGUGUGUUUGUUGUGAGGAAGGGAUUCCACUUCACUUUUUUCCAUAUGGAUUUAUAAUGGCCCACAGCAUCAUUUAUUGGAAGGGUAUGCAUUCUUCACCAAUCUGCAGUGUUAUCUUCAUCAUAAAUCAUGUCAUUACAUGUGUUGAUCUGUUUUUGAAUUUAUUAUCCUGUUCUAUUGUUCAUUUAUACCUAUAUCAGUACCAUACUAUCU